rnacentral:rRNA from 1 species
AUUGAACGCUGGCGGCAUGCUUUACACAUGCGAGUCGAACGGCAGCGCGGGCUUCGGCCUGGCGGCGAGUGGCGAACGGGUGAGUAAUACAUCGGAACGUGCCCAGUAGUGGGGGAUAGCUCGGCGAAAGCCGGAUUAAUACCGCAUACGACCUGAGGGUGAAAGCGGGGAAUCUUCGGACCUCGCGCUAUUGGAGCGGCCGAUGGCAGAUUAGCUAGUUGGUGGGGUAAAGGCCUACCAAGGCGACGAUCUGUAGCUGGUCUGAGAGGACGACCAGCCACACUGGGACUGAGACACGGCCCAGACUCCUACGGGAGGCAGCAGUGGGGAAUUUUGGACAAUGGGCGAAAGCCUGAUCCAGCAAUGCCGCGUGUGUGAUGAAGGCCUUCGGGUUGUAAAGCACUUUUGGCGGGAACGAAAAGGACUGUGCCAAUACCACGGUUCGAUGACGGUACCCGCAGAAUAAGCACCGGCUAACUACGUG